rnacentral:tRNA from 1 species
GGGAGUGUAGCUUAGUGGCAAAGCGGAACGGCAAACACCAUCUCACGUGGGUUCGAUUCCCGCCGCUCCCG